rnacentral:rRNA from 1 species
UACAGAGGUCCCAAGCGUUGUUCGGAUUCACUGGGCGUAAAGGGUGCGCAGGUGGCUCGGUAAGUUUGAUGUGAAAGCUCAGGGCUUAACCCUGAAAUGGCAUUGAAUACUAUUGGGCUGGAGGGUUGGAGGGGGGACUGGAAUUCUCGGUGUAGCAGUGAAAUGCGUAGAUAUCGAGAGGAACACCAGUGGCGAAGGCGAGUCCCUGGACAACACCUGACACUGAGGCACGAAAGCUAGGGGAGCAAAC